UAGCAUUUCUGCUACAACUAUUAUGCACAGAGUACAUCUUUGCCUAUUUUUCUACACCCCUGUCCUUGCUCACAAGCCUUUGAAGGCUGUGCUGCAUGAACUGGGGAGGAGAGCAAACAAGGUUGGCUGAGCCCAGUAUUCUCUAUCAGAAAGUUUCAGAAGGAGGACAGCCUGCAAGGACAAGAAAUAGGUGUGUGAGCAGUGGAGAUGGUUCUUUAAGGAAGAGGUAAGCAGGUCCGCUGUGAGGCAGCUGUCUGAAAUCUAUAGCAUGUAUCAGGGGAAUGGUAAGGGACUAGGUACCUGAUCCAGGAGAAAAGACUUUUCUUUUUUCCUAAGUUCACAGAGCUCACAAACCCUUAAAAAAUUCCAUUGAUGUCACUUCUUUCCCCCCAUCUCUCCUCCCCUUCCUUUCCUGCCCAUUCAAGUAACUAGAGUUCAACAAAAUUACAAGUAAAGAUCCAGGCUCUCUGCUGUGAUUGCAGAAACUUUGCUCUCCACACUAAUCUGCAAAAGGCCUUUUCAGACUGCAGAGUGCCACCUAGACGACAGAAGGAGGAUUUGCUGAGAGUCAGCCAACUGAAGGUGACCACCGUGCCCUUGAAACAAACAGAAGCAUAUUGAGAGUGAUGAAAUGAUGAAUACCUACAGAAGUGCCAGUGGGUCCACGGCCCAUCAAGAACACCACAGGAAAUGCAGUGACCUUUCCAACACACUUGUGCAGGAUCUGGGCGGGCCUUGGCUGACCGGGGGUGCCUUCUGGUUUAGGCCCUUUACAUGUGCAGAGCAGAAGACCAAGAGUUGAAAAUUAAGAAAUUAUGGAAAUUAUGGAAAAAGAGGAUUGUGCCCAGUGUUUUGACUCAGGGCAGGGAGCCCUUCACCAGCAUCACCAGUGGAGCUGGCAGACGGUGGGACAGCAGCCAGAGGGACACAGCCUGGCCAAGGACUCCCUGCCUGCUGGUUAGGGGCCAUGUGCUAAUUGCUCUGCAGCACAUUGAUCAUUAAUGCUGGGAAGAGGGAAGGAAAUUCAGUGUUUUGUAUUUUCUGGUGGCUGAAGGGUGGAGAAGCAGAAGGUGUUGCCUCGCAGGGUGAAGUGCUGCACACCUUUACAACCUGAGGAGAAACAGUGAUAGCCUGAGGUUCCACUGGAAAACAUGAAUGUCACCUAAGCUUCCGUAUUAAGUGCUUAAUGUAGGUGCUAACUAGAGACACUCUAAGGCAGAGUUUAAAAAAAAAAAAAAAAACCUCAUAGGAGCCAUACCAAUAGACAUCCAGAGAUGAAUUUGCAAACGAAAAAUAGAAAAGGGCAAAUUCUCAGCUGGUACAAAUUAGCCCCAACCCUUUGCUUUCCCUACCUCGAGAGAGAGAAAGACAAGAAAUGCAGUUCAUUCACUCCCGUCUUUUAGGCUCUUUCCUUAUAUUAAGAAUGUGAGAUGAAGACAGUACGCGCUGAGAUGCAGUAAAUCAAACCUUGGGUGCUUGUUCUGCAAGCAAGGGGUGAUGUGACUGCAGGGAGCGUGGCCACAGCAGGGUGCUGAGCCCUGCACAACUGCUGGAGUGCCAGUGCCCUCUCCUGUUCAGUGUGCACCAGCUCUCCCUGUUCGUUUCACGACAUGCUUGCAUGUGUUUGGAGGCUGGUGGAAAAUAUUCCCAAGCAUAGCCUGACAUCUGCUACAGAGUAAUAAAAAGCAGCUAAAGGAAACACAAGAAUGUGGCAGAACUUACUUGGGCAUUGUGUCCUCUCCAUCACAGUCCUAAGAAAUUAACGCUUGCAUUGGGCCAUUUCAGAAGAAAUAAUUCACAAACUAAUUCCAUUCAGCACAGCAGGCUUGGAUCUUCUUUCCAAAGCACACCUUCAGUGACAUUUGAUUACACUUUCUGUGGCUGUAACUUAAUUCCAGCCAUUGCCAAGUAUAUUCACAAAACUAUCAUUCGGGAGGAAACUGAAGCAAAGGGAAGUGUGCUGGCAGGCCUGUGCUCCCUUUAUACCGGGACUGUCUUUCAGACUUAUCACAUCAUUCCUUAGUGAUAACAGCACAGACUCAUCCUCAGUUUACCACAGCAGCAAAAGCAUUGGCAAUGCUAUAAAAUGUUUCCCAACAACUCAUUUGACCUCUAUCCUGAGGAUUUCCCCACAGAGAGCUCUGACAAAGUUACUUUCUGGUCUAAUAUUAUCACUCAUGCUAAAGCAGCUGAGGGAGUCAAAAGAACAAGCAGCAAACCUGUUCUACGUUGGAAGAGGGGAUUAUUCCCAGAGACAAAGCUCCUCAAUGCCUUAGGAUGGACAAAAAUUACAGCAGGUGGAAGAUUGGAACCGUUACUGACAUGUCAGAGGGAACUUAUUCUUCUGUAUCACCACUGCCUGGAGUCAUGUGUUAAUGGCUAUAAAUGUAAAAAUUUCAGAUGCUGGGCUAUUACAAUAAACAGUUUCUCAUGCUUAGAGAGAAACACUUGGGAGUAUGAUACUUAAUGGCUCAAAACUCAGAAGAUGAAUAAAAGGAACCCCAAGCCCCCCAAAAUGUACUCAGCUGAGUAAGUGCUUCAGCAGUGUCUGACAUCUAG